rnacentral:rRNA from 1 species
GACGAACGCUGACGGCGUGCUUAACACAUGCAAGUCGAAGGGAGUGGCGAACGGGUGAGUAACACGUGAGUCACCUGCCCUUUUCUUUGGGAAAAGCUUGGGAAACGGGGUCUAAUCGUGGAUGGAGUGGGAUGGGCUCGCGGCUUAUCAGCUUGUUGGUGGGGUGAUGGCUUACCAAGGCUUUGACGGGUAGCCGGCCUGAGAGGGGGGUCGGCCACACUGGGACUGAGAUACGGCCCAGACUACUACGGGAGGCAGCAGUGGGGGAUAUUGCACAAUGGACGAAAGACUGAUGCAGCGACGUCGUGUGGGGGAUGAAGGCCUUCGGGUUGUAAACUCCUUUCGCCAGCGGAAUGGUAGUGGGUAAAGAAGCGCCGGCUAACUACGUGCCAGCAGCCGCGGUAAUUC